rnacentral:rRNA from 1 species
ACAUGCAAGUCGAGGGGCAGCAUCAUUAAAGCUUGCUUUGAUGGAUGGCGACCGGCGCACGGGUGAGUAACACGUAUCCAACCUGCCGACAACACUGGGAUAGCCUUUCGAAAGAAAGAUUAAUACCGGAUGGCAUAGUCUUCCCGCAUGGGAUGACUAUUAAAGAAUUUCGGUUGUCGAUGGGGAUGCGUUCCAUUAGGCAGUUGGCGGGGUAACGGCCCACCAAACCAACGAUGGAUAGGGGUUCUGAGAGGAAGGUCCCCCACAUUGGAACUGAGACACGGUCCAAACUCCUACGGGAGGCAGCAGUGAGGAAUAUUGGUCAAUGGACGAGAGUCUGAACCAGCCAAGUAGCGUGAAGGAUGACUGCCCUAUGGGUUGUAAGCUUCUUUUAUACGGGAAUAAAGUGAGCCACGUGUGGCUUUUUGUAUGUACCGUAUGAAUAAGGAUCGGCUAACUCCGUGCCAGCAGCCGCGGUAAUACGGAGGAUCCGAGCGUUAUCCGGAUUUAUUGGGUUUAAAGGGAGCGUAGGCGGGUUGUUAAGUCAGUUGUGAAAGUUUGCGGCUCAACCGUAAAAUUGCAGUUGAUACUGGCGACCUUGAGUGCAACAGAGGUAGGCGGAAUUCGUGGUGUAGCGGUGAAAUGCUUAGAUAUCACGAAGAACUCCGAUUGCGAAGGCAGCUUACUGGAUUGUAACUGACGCUGAUGCUCGAAAGUGUGGGUAUCAAACAGGAUUAGAUACCCUGGUAGUCCACACAGUAAACGAUGAAUACUCGCUGUUGGCGAUAUACGGUCAGCGGCCAAGCGAAAGCAUUAAGUAUUCCACCUGGGGAGUACGCCGGCAACGGUGAAACUCAAAGGAAUUGACGGGGG